rnacentral:rRNA from 1 species
GAUGAACGCUGGCGGCGUGCCUAAUACAUGCAAGUCGAGCGAACAGACGAGGAGCUUGCUCCUCUGACGUUAGCGGCGGACGGGUGAGUAACGCGUGGAUAACCUGCCUAUAAGACUGGGAUAACUUCGGGAAACCGGAGCUAAUACCGGAUAAUAUAUUGAACCGCAUGGUUCAAUAGUGAAAGACGGUUUUGCUGUCACUUAUAGAUGGAUCCGCGCCGCAUUAGCUAGUUGGUAAGGUAACGGCUUACCAAGGCAACGAUGCGUAGCCGACCUGAGAGGGUGAUCGGCCACACUGGAACUGAGACACGGUCCAGACUCCUACGGGAGGCAGCAGUAGGGAAUCUUCCGCAAUGGGCGAAAGCCUGACGGAGCAACGCCGCGUGAGUGAUGAAGGUCUUCGGAUCGUAAAACUCUGUUAUUAGGGAAGAACAAAUGUGUAAGUAACUAUGCACGUCUUGACGGUACCUAAUCAGAAAGCCACGGCUAACUACGUG